AUGGUUGGACAUAUUUGGUUUGGGAGAUGCUGCCAAACACAUCGGGACUCCACAAAGCAUUGCCAUCAGAAGYCCAGACUGUGCAGUAGCUACACAUCUUAUUAAUUUGGUGGGUCCAAUUGCAGUAACCUCAGCCAACCCAACAGGCGAGGCAGAUACAACUCACCAUAACCAAGUUUAUGCCAAACUGGGAAAAAAGGUUGAAGGGGUGUUGUGUGAUGGAGCCUCCCCAGAGAAUAUCGCAUCUACUGUCGUUGACUGCACCAAGAUUGAAACUGGACAAAUUGGUUUCUUCAGAGUGGGCCUCAUUCCAAAAUCCAAGGUUCUCCAAAUAUUUGAAGAGGUUCGAAAUCGGCACAGACAAGGACAUACCAAUCCAGGAUUUGAAUAUGAUGUUCCCCUUUAAGACAUGCAAAGAGAUCAAAGUCCAAYAGGCACAACAGUGUCAAAAAGAGAACCAGGAAACUUAAAWGCAUAGUUAUACAACCACAGAGUCAAGAAGUCAGGAAAUGCCUCAUAAUAGCCCCUUUUAGUGUUGCUUAUAGUGGUGGCUACUGAUCAAGAGUCUGAUAAACAGAAAUAGCUGCUAAAUUACCCAAAGAAAUGUUGUAUAGUGUCUAAUGAUGUAUAAUAUUAACAGGCAACAUAAGUAAUUUAUUUUUUUCGUACCGAAUGUAAGUUUUUGUGCUUUUUAUGACAUUUUAUCUCUAUUUAGGUGUU